rnacentral:rRNA from 1 species
CCUACGGGGGGCAGCAGUGGGGAAUAUUGGGCAAUGGGCGCAAGCCUGACCCAGCAACGCCGCGUGAAGGAAGAAGGCUUUCGGGUUGUAAACUUCUUUUGUCAGGGACGAAGCAAGUGACGGUACCUGACGAAUAAGCCACGGCUAACUACGUGCCAGCAGCCGCGGUAAUACGUAGGGGGCGAGCGUUAUCCGGAUUUACUGGGUGUAAAGGGAGCGUAGACGGCAAUGCAAGUCUGAAGUGAAACCCCAAGGCUCAACCAUGGGCAUGCUUUGGAAACUGUGUAGCUAGAGUGCAGGAGAGG